GAUCCUGGCUCAGAGCGAACGUUUGCGGCGGGCUUAACACAUGCAAGUCGAACGAGAAUCCCUUCGGGGAGGAAAGUGGCGCACGGGUGCGUAACACGUGGAUGACCUACCCCUUGGUUCGGGACAACAGCGGGAAACUGCUGCUAAUACCGGAUGUGUCGUAGCAAUACGAGAAAGGCCCGCAAGGGUCGCCAGAGGACGGGUCCGCGUCCCAUCAGCUAGUUGGUGAGGUAAUGGCUCACCAAGGCGAAGACGGGUAGCUGGUCUGAGAGGAUGAUCAGCCACACUGGAACUGAGACACGGUCCAGACUCCUACGGGAGGCAGCAGUGGGGAAUAUUGCGCAAUGGGCGAAAGCCUGACGCAGCCACGCCGCGUGAGCGAUGAAGGUCUUCGGAUCGUAAAGCUCUGUGGGGGGAGAAGAAGAAAGUCGGUGAAGAGCCGGCCCUGACGGUAUCCCCUUAGCAAGCACCGGCUAACUCCGUGCCAGCAGCCGCGGUAAUACGGAGGGUGCAAACG
rnacentral:rRNA from 1 species